rnacentral:misc_RNA from 1 species
AAGUCGUAACAAGGUUUCCGUAGGUGAACCUGCGGAAGGAUCAUUACUACCCAACGCGCAUCCUGUGCUGCUGCUGCUGUGCGUGUGUGUGUCAUGCACGCACGCACUGUAGCACGCACAUGUGCGCAUUUUAUCAACCAACCCUGUGAACGAUAAAUCCAAGGUCUUUUGGGAAGACCGCACGCAAGCCGCGCACACGCACGCGCACGCGCACAUUUUGUGUGUGUGUGUGUGUGGGUGUGGGUGGUUUUGGGUGCACUUCCCGCUUUUACACGUAUUCGACCAUGAAGCAUUGUCAACCACGGCGAUGUUACACACAAAUCCAAACGCACGCGCACGCGCACACACGUGUGUGUGUGUGUGGGUGUGUGUUUGGAAAGAAAACAAAAACAUGAAACAACUUUCAACGGCGGAUCUCUUGGCUCGU